ACAUUACAUAAUCAAAAUGGGGACUCAAAGGAGGACCACUGGACUUAGGGAGGCAUUUGGGACAGAGCCCAUAUUUGCAUUAGCCAGACAUGACAUCAUGACGACUGGGCUAUAAAAUCAGCAUUUAAUGUGUCCCAUCAAUAGUGAGGAAAAUCACUUAAGCACUAAAACAUGCAUCUCCAUUUUGCCCUGCAGUCCAGUUUAACCAGUUUAUCUGUGCUGGUUUGUGGCAUGUUUGCAUCAUUGCUCCUAUUGAAAUGAAAUGUGUGCUUGACAGUGUGUGCAUCGCUAGCAGUAGGAAUGAUUGAUUCUAAUUGAAUCCACCCUGAAUACACUGACAAUAUAAAAGAUACAAAAGAACUGCAAUUAAUCUGUUUAAUGUGGGACAGAAAUGAACAGAGAGAAGGACAAAUAAGAGAUCUUUGAAAAUUCGCAGGAUUACAGCUUCCAUGUUUUGUCAUUGAAAUGACAUUGCACUGACUUAGAAGUUAGAUGGAUCUCUAGUUAAGAAUACUGUUCAAAAGUUUGGGGUCAGCAAGGUUUUUUAUUAAUACUUUCAUUCAGCAAGAUUCAUUAUGUAAAAAUGAUCAAAUGUGACAUGACAUUUAUG